CAUGCCGUAAACGAUGAUUACUAGGUGUGGGGGGUCUGACCCCUUCCGUGCCGGAGUUAACACAAUAAGUAAUCCACCUGGGGAGUACGGCCGCAAGGUUGAAACUCAAAGGAAUUGACGGGGGCCCGCACAAGCAGUGGAGUAUGUGGUUUAAUUCGAAGCAACGCGAAGAACCUUACCAGGUCUUGACAUCCAACUAACGAAGCAGAGAUGCAUUAGGUGCCCUUCGGGGAAAGUUGAGACAGGUGG
rnacentral:rRNA from 1 species